rnacentral:tRNA from 1 species
GCAACAGUAGUAUAGUGGUUAGUAUCUUCGCUUCCCAUCCCUUGUGGUUUGGCGCAGACUUCCUUGCGAAAGCAUCGCGAUGGACCCGAGUUCGAAUCUCGGCUGUUGCA